rnacentral:rRNA from 1 species
ACUCCUGCGGGAGGCAGCAGUGGGGAAUAUUGGACAAUGGGCGCAAGCCUGAUCCAGCCAUGCCGCGUGAGUGAUGAAGGCCCUAGGGUUGUAAAGCUCUUUCACCGGUGAAGAUAAUGACGGUAACCGGAGAAGAAGCCCCGGCUAACUUCGUGCCAGCAGCCGCGGUAAUACGAAGGGGGCUAGCGUUGUUCGGAUUUACUGGGCGUAAAGCGCACGUAGGCGGACUAUUAAGUCAGGGGUGAAAUCCCGGGGCUCAACCCCGGAACUGCCUUUGAUACUGGUAGUCUUGAGUUCGAGAGAGGUGAGUGGAAUUCCGAGUGUAGAGGUGAAAUUCGUAGAUAUUCGGAGGAACACCAGUGGCGAAGGCGGCUCACUGGCUCGAUACUGACGCUGAGGUGCGAAAGCGUGGGGAGCAAACAGGAUUAGAUACCCCUGUAGUCCCAUGAU